AGGAACUUCUUCACACCGGAAUGCUGAACAUGAGGGAUUUCACCUGUAAUCCCUCCAGUAGUGCUGCUCACAACUGGACUCAGUGCGCUGUCUGUAGAGGUCAUGGUGGAGGUCACGGUUACUCUCAACCCCACCCAUCCACAGCUUGUCCAUCCUUAGUGGUCUCCAGCACUAUCUUCCACCCUCAUCUAUUGGACUGGAUUGUUGCAUCAUUACUAGUUUGUAAACACAACAAAAGAAUUGACUCAAACUGAUAAGAAUGCUGACAUGUGAGGAGCUGUCUGGGAUCCUGAGAUAAGCCAACAGGAAGUAUGCUUACUCAGAAGAGCAUCAUGGUGACAGUGGAAAUGAUCUGAAUGCAUCUUUUAUCUGAGUCUUUAAUAAAAUGACUCCCCAAAGCAUCCACCUAGUUGACCUUUAUUUUCCUUACAGCUACUCUUCCAACGAGCUGCACAUCCCAAAAGUGGAAAAAACUGUUUCUGCUAAACAAAGGAAAUCCUUUGGACAGGGCAGAGCUGUCCUCAUAUGAAAGGACAACAAUAGAAAUGGGCUUUGGUG